UUCCUUCUUAUCUGAAACCCAGGACUUCCCGUUAUCGCCUCCUCUGUCGAGUCUUUUAAUUUUCGUUUUGCAGAUCUAUAGUCCUUCGGUUGUCUUUAUCAGUUUCUGCUUACAUGAUCGAUUAGAUCGCAUAACGAUCUAUGUUUUGAUGGGUGAUUCUUGGUGUUUCUUUCUUCUUUGAUAUCGGGUAGUACCGGCGUCAAGAUUUGAAUCCUCCUGUAUUAACCGGGAUUGUGUUCCUUGUGCGGGUGCAUGGCUUGUUCUAGGGUUCAUAUUACUACCACGACGUGCUUUAUUUCGGGUUGGUUUCGUUGGACGCCGAUGUGUAUGUUUGUAAAGGUCAACUGUUGCAGAGGAUCUGAUCGGAGCUAGAUCUCAUAGCUGAUAAAGGCUUUGAUGUAAUCUAGAGAUGUGAGGUUCUGAUCUUUGUUUCUGAUGUUCUUGGUCGUCAGACCUUUGCCAUGGCAGGUGCGCUUGCAUGGCAGGUCGCUAACAGUAAUAAAAAAUGCACUAUUUUUUGUUUUGAGGGGGGAUCGCACGGGGGUUUGCCCGGGUUCUCCCCUCUGGUGUGCUGCGUGUCCUUCCCUUUCUCUCUCUCUCUCUCUCUCUCUCUCUCUCUCUUCCUACUCGUCCGUGCCCAUUCGAAAGGAAAUUCGAAUCAUCCAUCCCUGAAGAUCGUCAAAGGUACACAUGUUACAUUCAGUUUACUAUAGAUAAGCCAUAUCCAACAAUAUAUCUCAUUCAACAUGCAGUAGAUCAAAUAAUUUACACGAUGCCUCGAUGCUUUUUCUGUGGUCCCACCCGUUAUGGCUAACGGAAACUGAGGUUUUUAGUUUGGCUAAAAUAAUUUAGUAUUUGGUAUGGACAGUUUGCUUCGGGGAUUUUAUCUGCGUUACGGUUUCCGAAUCACCCUUUCCAAGGUAAACAUUCUAAGAGGGUUUCAAUUCACGUAAUGAUCAAAUUUUCUUAGUAGUUAAAUUUUAUUUAUCAUUUGAAUUCAUGAUAUUGCGUAGACACUGAGGUUCUUCGUUUUACGGGAUCUUUUUCUAUUUGAAACCUGAAACAUGGGCAUUUUGCGAUUCCAUUGUUUUGUUUUUAAUUCAAUUCAUAAGACCGUAAGUGAAUGCACCAGUAUAUUUAAAUGUUACAGUAUUGGCUCACAGGAUGAUGCGGUUCUUUCUUUGUACUUGUUAAAUCUAUGGACAAUUCCAUUGAUUUGAUACCUUGUACAGCAUUUUGUAAAGCUUUCCUGUAUCUUCUCCAACCACUUUGUUUGCAGAUUCAUGUUAUGAGUUGAGGUUUGACAUGGAUCUGUUUUCAUUCCUGAAAUUUCUUCUGUUGUAAUACUCUAUUCUUUAUGUUACUUCUAUUAUACUGUUUUAUAUCGAGAAAGUAGUCCCAAGGUAACUUAAACAUGGUUUGGUGACGAAGAGAAGGAAAAUUCAAGGCAGGUGUCUGAUGGAGUUUGAUGGUGUUGCAGUGAAAGCUUUAAUAUGUGGUAACAGUUUCUGCCAUAAUGUUUAAUGUAGUAAUGCUCUUUGCUCUUUAUUGGUCAAGAUUUCAAUUUGUGUUUCCUUUCCAAGUUACGGGCUGAAAAUAAUUAUAUCAAUUGAGGUGAGAUGCAUAUACGACGUCUUUUGUGCUCAACAACCUCAUCUUUAAUUGCUUUCUUUCUGGUAGUUUUCUGCCCUGUUUUACAAUAUUCUCAAUUAUAGAACCUAUGCAGGAUAAGUCGACCCAUCUGGAAACGUUUCUUUGACCAAUAAAUCGACUCUGGAUCCAUUUAUGAAAUAUGUCAAGGGAAUUUUGGUUUAAAGCUGCAAUUGGUUAUAAUUACCUUAAUGCUAGUUUUAUAGCUUUUGAGUUUGGCUCAAUGCUAAAGGAUGGAUGCCGUUGAAGUUACACUUUGGCUUUUAAGGAAUCCUAGAGAUGUGUCAACGCACAUGCCGGACGGUUUCUCCCAAAAUGCUCUUUGUUUUUUUUUACAGCAAAAUUAGAAUAAUAUAUAUUAAAUCUACCAUAUGUACAAGGUUAGGAUGACCUUAUCCAGCGCUGUCUAUGGUGGAGCUUACCAAACCAGCUAAUGGAGCUAAUGGAGGUGCUUAACGCCAUAAAGGUCUACGUCUGCAUUUAGCAUUUUAACUUCACCUUCCAAUGGAUUGGCUGCAGUCGGUUCCUUAAGAAGUUGGAUCCAUGGUCUUUUGCCUCGUAAUAGUAGCAUUAUCCUCGGUGGGUAGUGUUGUAUUGCUCACACUGUAGGCCGAUUUAUGUGGGGAUGCUGUGAUCCAACUUUAUGUUUGCAUUGAUGCGUAAAUCACGUGGCGCUCUAUUGUUCUCGCUUGAGCCUAGGAUACGCACGCAUAAGGUUAUAACCAAGACUUUUUCCCAUACUAGCCCAACAAGGAUUUGGAUUAACAUUUUCUGAAGUUUAUGAUUAGUGGAUUGGUAUGGAAUUUUGAUGAAUGUACAGCCUUGUGAUUUUUUCUACAAAUGGUUGUCGGCAUCUCAAAAUCCUACAUGCUUCUUGGAAUCCAAAUAUCUUGGGAGGAAUAUCUGCUAUAUGUGCCCUUUGUGGGAUUUCUGGUGGUUGUUGAAAUGCUUGUUUUAUGGUUGUCAUUGUGGGUCACUUCCAUGUAGCGGUCUGUGCAGGUGGCCUGAUGGUGUCGUACCGUGGCAAUGGGUAGCGCCAUCUCAAACUUUUGAAUCCUGGCCUGAUCUGGUAUCUACCUCUCUCAAACGUCCAGGUAAAAAUUUCUUUGAAGAUAGAGAUUUAUUUUUAGAAUGAGAGGCGUAAUAAAGUUUUUUGAUGUCUACGAAGCGCUCUUUCAGAAGUAACUUUUCUAUGGUAGUUGCUUUGUUUCCACAU